rnacentral:rRNA from 1 species
GAGGAGCCCGCGGCCGAUUAGCUAGUUGGUGAGGUAACGGCUCACCAAGGCAAUGAUCGGUAGCUGGUCUGAGAGGAUGGCCAGCCACACUGGAACUGAGACACGGUCCAGACUCCUACGGGAGGCAGCAGUGGGGAAUCUUGCGCAAUGGGCGAAAGCCUGACGCAGCGACGCCGCGUGGGGGAUGAAGCUUCUCGGAGUGUAAACCCCUUUCGACCGGGACGAAUGCCCGCAAGGGAGUGACGGUACCGGUAGAAGAAGCCCCGGCUAACUACGUGCCAGCAGCCGCGGUAAGACGUAGGGGGCCAGCGUUGUUCGGAAUUACUGGGUGUAAAGGGUUCGUAGGCGGUGUGGCAAGUCGGGAGUGAAAUUUCUGGGCUUAACUCAGAGACUGCUUCCGAAACUGCUGUGCUGGAGUGUGGGAGAGGCGCGUGGAAUUGCAGGUGUAGCGGUGAAAUGCGUAGAUAUCUGCAGG